UUUCUCUCCACCCAAACAAAAGUUUCUUGCCACAGUCCAAGGCAAGAUUUUCAUCAAAGAGCACUGGAAAUGCACAGCCUGCACAGCGCAGCUCAGCCACACAGCACUGCUGGCUCCUGACCCACCCUUUGGCACCCCAAGUACCUCCCUAAGCCAUGGCUCCCCGGAUAAGAUUGAGUGUUUCAAAGCCUCUCCCAACCAUCUGCGAAACCCACGAGGAAGCAAUGGAAGACCUAACCAGCAACCCAAAGCACACUGCAAACACUUCAACCAACCCAGACUUGUACUCUAGCGAUGACUACAUUCAAUCUAUCUGCCACCUUGCCAGGCCCACCUUCCCAGGCAUUCCGGAAAGCAGCCAUAGGGUUCGGAACAGAAGAAUCCUGCAGACCCUGGAAGCCAUGUCAUGGUCCCCAUCCCAGAAAGAAAUGUCAGCAUGUAAAUUGACCAAUUUCAUCUCAAAUGUGAUGCCACUGGGAAAAGCUACAUCUGCUCCUGAUGAUGCAGAAGCCGACUUCUGGUCCAGAGAGGACCCCCUGGCACAGAUCUACAGGCGCACAGGAAACCUCUGCUCCUCCAAGGGUUUGUGGAGCAAAAACUCCAGCACUGACUCCUCACAGUGCAUCUCCUCCAGCCACCUGGACUCCCUUCAUCCCCCAGCCAUGAAAGAAGAAGCCCCAGGAAAACCACAUUUCCCACGGAUGUUCAGUUUUCCAAGGUUUCCCUCUCCAAGGCCAAUGCAGAAAGAAACGCUCUGCUCAGAGCUGAGGUGUCUCAGAAGGGAUGAGGGAGCGGUUGUAGGGAGCAAUCACAGUCAAAAGGAAGAUGCUCCCAGGUUUAUUAACACUGAAGAGCUAUUGCUGUGCUCAGGCAGAGGGAAGCUACUAGGAAAUCGGCUCUUGCGCUGCUCUGUAAGGAGGCAGAGUUUGUUUGAGGCAGUGGGUGCUGAUGAAAAAGAAGGGAGAGAAACUUCUCACUGUGACAAAAACGCAGUGGGUGAUGUUCCCAGUAAACAGAGAUACUCUGAGUGCUUCCAGGCAGCUAAAAAAGCUGUGAUCCAUAAUUGGAUUUCAGAGCAUAGAUGCAUGUGGAAAGAAGCAAAGAUAAAGGCUUGUUUGCUCCCAGCCAUUGCUGAAGUGUGAAAAAGUAUCUGUUCCAAAUAAUGUUGUUUGCAAGAAAUAAACACCCUGUGCUCUAGAAGCUCUCCCUGGAGUCCUUAUGUGGAAAACAUGGCUUGAAUGUGCAUGCAAGUCAGAAAACCUUUUGUGAUCCAUCUUACCCCUCAUCAGUGGGCAAAUGGACAACUUGGAGUCCAGUCCUCUGAGAAAGCAGCAAUUAAUUCUCAUUUUGGAAAGACAACGGUUCAUAAAGCAUUGCCCCACACCUAUUGCCUUGAACUGCCCUGAGCAUGGAGGAAAUUGAAGAGCCAUCUGUCUUGAAGAAGUAAUCUGAAGGAAAAAGAAACAACAACCCACACACCUACUGCCAUUUCACAGCAGAUGCCAAGCAGCCAGAUGUUUCACACGCUUGGGUACAGUUAUUCUGAAAGGAACAUUCUGAAUGGUGCUUGGACAGUACUAAAUAUGCCCUCACUGACAUAUGCAUUCACUGAGACACACAGCAUAGAUCACUGCAUCAACACCAGAAUACCACUGGGUCAGUCAUCUGGUAGUGCUUUCAUGUAAAGGAAUACUUUUAAUAGCUGUAAGAAGCCUGUGAUGAGGAUGUGUUAGAGGACAACAUGAAAAAUACUGAAACUGCUCUGGGUGGGACUUUUCCCCUUCCUUAGCACUGCAAAAGUUUAUGACUUUCAUGUCACAAUCUAACCUUUUUGGGGAUGAGUGCCCUGGGUGAGCAUUGCUAACGCUGGUCUGGUGCUGCAAGAAAUCAGGGUCCCAUCGGUGUCUGCACUGCUGUCUGUGCUGGGUGGGAGCACAGCUGGGAGCUGAGAAAGCUCUGUGCACGUAUGGAUUGUGUCUGUGUUUCCCUUCAUCUGUGUGCUUCUCUAGUUUCCCCCACCUGGCCAUGCUAACCACACUGACUUUUCUAUGCCUGGUGCUGUGAGACCGAAACAUGAAGGAAAAAAAAACAUCACAAGAAGUCCCCAGGACAGCCCCUUUGCUGCUCAUGCUGUGUGGGAUGUCUGCAGGAGGAGCAGUGCUGCUGUGGGAUCCAGGUCAUCCCCUAACCGCCUCAUUGAGACAACUUUGUCUCCUGAAGCCUUCACACACUGUCACAGUCCCACAGCCACAGCGCACAGCACUGCAAGAGGAGCGGGUGAGAGAACUGCUAAGUAAUGCCAGUGCAGUUAUUGCUGCCACUGCCACAAAUCAAUCCUUUGGCACGGAGCAGACACGAGGACUGGGCUGUUUGCUCAACUGCAGCCAGGACGGGAAAUACCACCGCAAAGCUGCCAUUAUAGAAGUGCUCACAGGUGGCUUCUGAAACACCCCUGAGUAGAUUAAAUCAGACUGCAACUUCUGCCCGGUACCAACACAAGUGUAAAUAUACUCAAGGAUCAAAAGGUGAGAGAAUCUGAACUGCUCAUUCUCACAUCUCUUACCUCAAAUAUUUUUAUUCCUGUUGAAACUCAUUAAUGCUCCGGAGCCAAACUGCUUCUCAUCUCCAUUUUCAAACUAACCACACAGCAAGAACAAAGGCGAAGGCGGCUGCAGCUUUUUUAGGGUUUACAGAGAGCCUGAGCUGAACAAGGCCACACGGGCUCUGCCUCCCCCUCUUCUGCCCUUCCCUCUUGGGUUUGUAUAGGGAUGGAGGACAUGUUUGCCCUCAUUGCUAUGCGGACAUUUCGGUUUCUGUCCAUGUUUAAGACACUAAUGCCUAGCAAGUUUUGUGCCAACUGCAUGUAUCACCGUGUUUGACCAAGAAAGCAAAUAAAACCCUUACACCAAGCAGCAUUCUCUGUUCUUGCAGGCCCAUGAGUGAACCUCCAGGUGCAGGGCAGGCUGUGACCAAUGGCUCAGGGCUCACUACACAAACACCUGCUCAUUGCACAGCAGGCCCCAAGCACAGGAGCAAUGCCUUGUAACGCCAUUCUGCCUGCCCAGAGCCAGGCAUUAGGCCUGCAUCAAACUGGUGAUGCUGUGCAUUCUCAGACCCCCCCCCGACAAGGCUCCUGGCGAUAACAUCCACCCUCACAGCCGGACCACAGCAUGGCACCAUGCAGCUGCUUCAGAGUGCCCCCAGCACUGAGAUUCCUCCUCGGCUGCCAUAUAUUCCUGUGAAUUCUCAAACUUUCCCAACUGAGCUCCCUAGAAACCUAAAACCCUUGGGGGGGGGAGGAAGCUUCGGAGUGCAGCAAAGAGAGGCACAGACAAGCUCAGGUGAUGUUGGCAUCCAAAUCCCACCAGUAGCUUUCAGUCUCAGCCUUCACAACCUGUUCACAGACAAUGUGUAGGCUAACAUACAACUUCAUUCAUGUGGUCAUGCAGACUUUUACUGCUGCAAGCAAUGAAUGCACUUGGACACAAAAAACCAUGACCAGAAAACCAAAGACAGGCAGAAACAAAGCUGUUCCCUUCUUUUCUCAUCAAUGCCACAACCAGCCCUAAGAGAAUUCAACAGAAUUAGCACAAAGAAGCGGCGGAAGAGGAAAAGGAGGGCUGUAAAGGACAACAGUUACCAUCAGCUCAGAGCAAGGAUGAGGAAGCAACAGCUCUGAGAGCCUGGCUAAUGGUAUCUGGGUAUCAGCACAGUGCAGAACAGCCACAGCACUCCAAGGAGCAAAUGCACUGCAGGUAGGGUCUCUCUGCAGAUAGAAAGACUGUAUUGGUCAGAAACUAAGGCAUGAACUGAUGUAAUGUGUUUAGAAACAGGAAAGGGUCAGGAAUGCGCUUGUCCUAAAGAGAGGACACAAAGGCAAGAUGGGAAAUGGAGAAGGUCUGUGCAGGAGGCCCUUGUGUGAAGUCAGCAAAGCCAGUUUCUGAAAAGUUUAAAUGAGAGUACUAGUGUAGUAGUAGUGUAGUACAGUAGUAGUGUAAAAGCAGCUUUUUUUUAAGAAAAAAAAACAAAUAAAAAUCUUAAAGCUUUGAUAGAAAAUACAGAGCCUAAUUUAGGGGAAACAGAUCCAAGCCUGAGGUGAGAUAUGGGGUCCCUCUACAGAGGUUAGCAGCUGUGUGGAUUGUGCAUCAAGCUUUCCCCUUGCCCUGGAAUGCCACAGUUGGGCCUAAUUACUCACUGAGAGUGUUUUUAGCUAACUUUGAGUCUCUACAAAUGGAGAGUAAUGAUAAAUGGUGUACAAUGAAGUUAAACUGCAUUUAGUGACUAAGAAGGAAUCUCUUAGCUUCAAAAAAAAAAAAAAAAAAAAAAAAAAAAAAAGCCUUGUAUGUCCCAUCAGCAAUGUGAUUAAUGGCCAAGAGUUUUGCAUCUGCAGCAAUAAACACAGGCAUAAAAGAGAUCCAAAACAACAGCCAAAUGCAUUCACAGAUGAAAGGAGCAGGGAAGCCUCUCUGUCCUGGUGGCAGUGGGAGGCAGUGCUACAUCUGUUGCUGCACAGGGAGCUGCACUGUCAGUGACACAUCCUGCAGUACCCAGGCAGAGGCCUCCUGCUCCCAUCUCAGAUGUACGAGCUCAAAAAGCACAAGCUUGCAGUCUUGUGUUUGACCAUCCUUCCGGCUCAGCUGUUUGCCUUGCUCACCACAGCCCCCAUUUAUUUUUUGUGGCUGGCAUCGAAAUCACAGCGGAUAGCAACAAUGAACCCUGUAACACCACAUCUUGGUCUCAUGGCCUUUCCCCAUGCUUUGGGCUUCUCAAGAGUAACUGAAUUUGCCUGACACAAGAUAGAGCUGAUGCAAAAUACACAUUGUGUAAAUUCCCAUCCAAUGUCCCUGGCAAUCACAGCUUUCCUGGAAAUAAAGCUCCUGGAGGCAGCACUUCCAGGGACUGUUGCAAAGAGCUGCAGAAAACCCAGGCAUUUUUGGAAUAUCAUCU
ensembl:lncRNA